rnacentral:rRNA from 1 species
AUUGAACGCUGGCGGCAGGCCUAACACAUGCAAGUCGAGCGAGCGGCGGACGGGUGAGUAAUGUCUGGGAAACUGCCUGAUGGAGGGGGAUAACUACUGGAAACGGUAGCUAAUACCGCAUACCAUCAGAUGUGCCCAGAUGGGAUUGGCUAGUAGGUGGGGUAACGGCUCACCUAGGCGACGAUCCCUACCUGGUCUGCGAGGGUGACCAGCCACACUGGUACUGAUACGCGGUCCAGGCUCCUACGGGGGUCAGCAUUUGGAAUUAUUGCACAAUGGGCGCAAACCUGAUGCAGCCAUGCCGCGUGUGUGAAGAAGGCCUUCGGGUUGUAAAGCACUUUCAGCGGGGAGGCGUUAACCGAAGAAGAAGCACCGGCUAGCUCCGUGCCAGCAGCCGCGGUAAUAC